AGCGAACGCUGGCGGCAGGCCUAACACAUGCGAGUCGAACGAACUCUUCGGAGUUAGUGGCGGACGGGUGAGUAACACGUGGGAACGUGCCUUUUGGUUCGGAAUAACUCAGGGAAACUUGUGCUAAUACCGAAUGUGCCCUUCGGGGGAAAGAUUUAUCGCCAUUAGAGCGGCCCGCGUCUGAUUAGCUAGUUGGUGAGGUAACGGCUCACCAAGGCGACGAUCAGUAGCUGGUCUGAGAGGAUGACCAGCCACACUGGGACUGAGACACGGCCCAGACUCCUACGGGAGGCAGCAGUGGGGAAUAUUGCGCAAUGGGCGAAAGCCUGACGCAGCCAUGCCGCGUGAAUGAUGAAGGUCUUAGGAUUGUAAAAUUCUUUCACCGGGGACGAUAAUGACGGUACCCGGAGAAGAAGCCCCGGCUAACUUCGUG
rnacentral:rRNA from 1 species